UUAACUUAAAUUUGUAUGCAGUUGAACGUUUGCUUACGUUUGCCGCUAGGGGCGCUGUUCCAACCGCAUACAAAUUGAAGUUA
rfam:Bombyx mori DNA, contig: Bm_scaf3_contig3194, strain: p50T/Dazao, build 2, whole genome shotgun sequence.